rnacentral:lncRNA from 1 species
AGCAAAAUGAAAAGAAAUGUUUGAUAUAGGAUGCUGCACAUUCUUAGCCAAUGUAGGAGACACUUGUGCUGGCUGAGUAUCUAACUCCUGAGUUUCGUCUGCUGUAUCAGAAGGAGCAACCAUUAGUAACAUCCGGCAGGGAUAGAUGUAGCUGAGGCUUCGGCAUGAUUUGUUGGAGGACCACUUGUAACAAUGUGCUCGUCUGUAAGAAUCUGAUCAUCAUGA